AGUGAACGCUGGCGGCGUGCCUAAUACAUGCAAGUCGAACGAUGAAGUCCUAGCUUGCUAGGAUGGAUUAGUGGCGCACGGGUGAGUAAUAUAUAGUUAAUCUGCCCUACACAGAGGAACAACAGUUGGAAACGGCUGCUAAUACCUCAUACUCCUAUUUGACAUAAGUUAAAUAGGGAAAGUCUUUUCGGUGUAGGAUGAGACUAUAUCGUAUCAGCUAGUUGGUAAGGUAAUGGCUUACCAAGGCUAUGACGCGUAACUGGUCUGAGAGGAUGAUCAGUCACAUUGGAACUGAGACACGGUCCAAACUCCUACGGGAGGCAGCAGUAAGGAAUAUUGCGCAAUGGGGGAAACCCUGACGCAGCAACGCCGCGUGGAGGAUGACACUUUUCGGAGCGUAAACUCCUUUUAUCAGGAAAGAAUAAUGACGGUACCUGAUGAAUAAGCACCGGCUAACUCCGUGCCAGCAGCCGCGGUAAUACGGGGGGUGCAAGCGUUACUCGGAAUCACUGGGCGUAAAGGACGCGUAGGCAGAUUAUCAAGUCUUUUGUGAAAUCUAGUGGCUUAACCACUAAGCUGCUUAGGAAACUGAUAGUCUAGAGUAGGGGAGAGGUAGAUGGAAUUCUUGGUGUAGGGGUAAAAUCCGUAGAGAUCAAGAAGAAUACCCAUUGCGAAAGCGAUCUGCUGGAACCUAACUGACGCUGAGGCGUGAAAGCGUGGGUAGCAAACAGGAUUAGAUACCCUGGUAGUCCACGCCCUAAACGAUGUAUACUAGUUGUUGCUUUGCUAGUCAAGGCAGUAAUGCAGCUAACGCAUUAAGUAUACCGCCUGGGGAGUACGGUCGCAAGAUUAAAACUCAAAGGAAUAGACGGGGACCCGCACAAGCGGUGGAGCAUGUGGUUUAAUUCGAAGCAACGCGAAGAACCUUACCAAAUCUUGACAUCCUUUGACAACUCUAGAGAUAGAGCUUUCCCCUUCGGGGGACAAAGUGACAGGUGGUGCAUGGUUGUCGUCAGCUCGUGUCGUGAGAUGUUGGGUUAAGUCCCGCAACGAGCGCAACCCUUAAGCUUAGUUGCCAUCAUUAAGUUGGGCACUCUAAGUUGACUGCCGGUGACAAACCGGAGGAAGGUGGGGAUGACGUCAAAUCAUCAUGCCCCUUAUGAUUUGGGCUACACACGUGCUACAAUGGACAAUACAAAGGGCAGCGAAACCGCGAGGUCAAGCAAAUCCCAUAAAGUUGUUCUCAGUUCGGAUUGUAGUCUGCAACUCGACUACAUGAAGCUGGAAUCGCUAGUAAUCGUAGAUCAGCAUGCUACGGUGAAUACGUUCCCGGGUCU
rnacentral:rRNA from 1 species